rnacentral:rRNA from 1 species
ACCCUACGGGGGGCAGCAGUGAGGAAUAUUGGUCAAUGGGCGCGAGCCUGAACCAGCCAAGUCGCGUGAAGGAUGACUGCCCUACGGGUUGUAAACUUUUUUUAUAAAGGAAUAAAGUGAGGCACGUGUGCCUUUUUGUAUGUAUUUUAUGAAUAAGGAUCGGCUAACUCCGUGCCAGCAGCCGCGGUAAUACGGAGGAUCCGAGCGUUAUCCGGAUUUAUUGGGUUUAAAGGGAGCGUAGAUGGGUUGUUAAGUCAGCUGUGAAAGUUUGCGGCUCAACCGUAAAAUUGCAAUUGAUACUGGCA